UACGUAGGGUGCGAGCGUUGUCCGGAAUUAUUGGGCGUAAAGGGCUCGUAGGCGGUCUGUCGCGUCGAAAGUGAAAACUCAGGGCUUAACCCUGAGCCUGCUUCCGAUACGGGCAGACUAGAGGUAUGCAGGGGAGAACGGAAUUCCUGGUGUAGCGGUGAAAUGCGCAGAUAUCAGGAGGAACACCGGUGGCGAAGGCGGAUCUCUGGGCCUUACCUGACGCUGAGACGCGAAAGCGUGGGGAGCAAACAGG
rnacentral:rRNA from 1 species